rnacentral:rRNA from 1 species
GUGAGUAACACGUGGGCAAUCUGCCCUGCACUCUGGGACAAGCCCUGGAAACGGGGUCUAAUACCGGAUAAUACUGUGCCCCUCAUGGGGGAUGGUUAAAAGCUCCGGCGGUGCAGGAUGAGCCCGCGGCCUAUCAGCUUGUUGGUGGGGUAAUGGCCUACCAAGGCGACGACGGGUAGCCGGCCUGAGAGGGCGACCGGCCACACUGGGACUGAGACACGGCCCAGACUCCUACGGGAGGCAGCAGUGGGGAAUAUUGCACAAUGGGCGAAAGCCUGAUGCAGCGACGCCGCGUGAGGGAUGACGGCCUUCGGGUUGUAAACCUCUUUCAGCAGGGAAGAAGCGAAAGUGACGGUACCUGCAGAAGAAGCGCCGGCUAACUACGUGCCAGCAGCCGCGGUAAUACGUAGGGCGCAAGCGUUGUCCGGAAUUAUUGGGCGUAAAGAGCUCGUAGGCGGUUUGUCACGUCGGGUG